rnacentral:lncRNA from 1 species
CUUGUUUGUCACUCUCAGAAGUUUGUCUUGCAGUGUACCAGAAGGAUUUUCUAAUUUCAGAGUGAAGAAUAGAGGAAAGUAAUUGUUGGAUCCAUUCAUAUUUCAAAUGAGACCAAACUCACAGCCUUUUACCCUCAUCUACAGCACCUGCUGCCAACUGUUCAUCUGUCUGAGUCCUAAGCCAUGGCUUAGUAUGGAACUGGGAAGGCUUUUGAAAUCGAGGCAGACCAGAUGGAUCUGAUGUAUACUGAGUUCUAG